CAUCGUGGCCUGCGGCGUAUGAGAAAUCAUUACUGUGAAGGAAUCCUUGCCAAGACUUGGAGAGUGUCUGACCCGCAGAGAAAUCUCAUGGAGGAUCCAAAGCAGUGACUGGCAAUCGUGAGAGCUGCAUAGAGAAGGGAGUCUGAGACUGCUCUAUGAUACUGAGUUUCCGUAUACAGAUGAUAGGAGAGCGUGCCAGGCUUCAUCCGGACGUGACACGUGCCCUCAAACCUCAGACUAGAAAGGAUGGGACGCAUCGUGUGCGGUGAGGUACAGAUGCGAGCAGGUGGCUAUUGCCGAAGGGCAGACACAGCCAGUUGAUGCAGGUGCGCCUGGUAGGCUGUUGGCUGCAGUAAGCAAUAGCUUGGGUGUGAAGGUGACACAAGGCUUUUUCCAGAAUGUGGUUUGUUUUUACCAGGCCCUCUGCAAAGAGUGGUUAGCUUGUCCUUUUCCCAUCACCUCGCUUUAUGCUGUGUGCUAACGUGAAAUGACGAGCUUGUCUCCCUCCCUUCUCCCCAUCAGGGCCACGAGCGCUGAGAUCCGCGUUGACACAUGCACACUCACCCGCAGUAAGGGAGCUCCUGCUGCUGCAGAGUGAGGCUCUUCCUGUGGCAGCAAGAAGAUGGCUGUAAGCAUCGGGAGGAUUUUUUUUAUUACAGUAAGCAGAGAGUUUACAACUGGUUUCCUGUCUGAAUGGGUUUCCCUUGAGCAAUCCCCAUACCCGUACAAUCCUCAACCAGAAAAACAACUCACAGCAAGUCUGUCAAGAGCACUGGCACAGAUGCCUGAAACAUCUCUCUUCCAGACAGGAGAGGACAGACUCUGCAGAGCUACAGGAGUCGCUGCAUGUUUCAGCACAGAAGAAUGGAAACAAAUCUCUCAGAUGUUGGAUUUCCCAUGA
rnacentral:lncRNA from 1 species